GACGAACGCUGGCGGCGUGCUUAACACAUGCAAGUCGAACGGAAAGGCCCUGCUUUUGUGGGGUGCUCGAGUGGCGAACGGGUGAGUAACACGUGAGUAACCUGCCCUUGACUUUGGGAUAACUUCAGGAAACUGGGGCUAAUACCGGAUAGGAGCUCCUGCUGCAUGGUGGGGGUUGGAAAGUUUCGGCGGUUGGGGAUGGACUCGCGGGUUAUCAGCUUGUUGGUGGGGUAGUGGCUUACCAAGGCUUUGACGGGUAGCCGGCCUGAGAGGGUGACCGGCCACAUUGGGACUGAGAUACGGCGCAGACUCCUACGGGAGGCAGCAGUGGGGAAUAUUGCACAAUGGGCGGAAGCCUGAUGCAGCAACGCCGCGUGCGGGAUGACGGCCUUCGGGUUGUAAACCGCUUUCGCCUGUGACGAAGCGUGAGUGACGGUAAUGGGUAAAGAAGCACCGGCUAACUACGUG
rnacentral:rRNA from 1 species